rnacentral:misc_RNA from 1 species
AAGUCGUAACAAGGUUUCCGUAGGUGAACCUGCGGAAGGAUCAUUAAGAAUUAAUAAUAUUUGUGAAAUUUCAACAAACAACAAUAAUCAUACAAUCAAUAAUUAAAAAAUUAAAACUUUUAACAAUGGAUCUCUUGGUUCUC